GGGUGAGUCCCGUACGGUCAGCUCCCUCUGAACCCCGUCAGGGCCGGAAGGCAGCAGCGGUAGGAGGUCGAAGCGACGCGAUGCGGUUAGCUUACCCUUC
rnacentral:SRP_RNA from 3 species